rnacentral:tRNA from 1 species
GCCACCCUAGCUCAGCUGGUAGAGCAACGGUUUUGUAAACCGUAGGUCGCGAGUUCGAACCUCGCGGGUGGCU